rnacentral:rRNA from 1 species
AGUUUGAUUCUGGCCUGUGAUUGAACGCUGGCGGAUGCUUUACACAUGCAAGUCGAACGGCACGGUGGACUUCGGUCUGGUGGCGAGUGGCGAACGGGUGAGUAAUGUAUCGGAACGUGCCUAAAGGGGGGGAUAACUACGCGAAAGCGUAGCUAAUACCGCAUGUCGCCUUCGGGGGGAAAGCGGGGGACUUUCUGGCCUCGCACUAUUAGAGUGGCCAGAUAUCGGAUUAGCUAGUUGAGCGGGGCACGGUGGCUCACCAAGGCGACGAUCCGCUGGUUUGAGAGGACUAUCAUAGCCACACUGGGACUGAGACACGGCCCAGACUCCUACGGAGGCAGCAGGGGGAAUUUUGACAAUGGGGAAACCCUGAUCUAGCCACUCUGGCGUGUGCGAUGAAGGCCUUGCCAAAGCACUUUGGCAGGAGGAAGAAACGGCACGAUAAUACCCCGUGCAACUGACGCGGUACCUGCAGAAUAAGCACCGGCUAACUACGUGCCAGCAGCCGUGUACGCGUGUAGGGUGCAAGCGUGGUUAAUCGGAAUUACCGGGCGUAAAGCGUAUGCAGGCGGUUCGGAAAGAAAGAUGUGAAAUCCCAGAGCCAGAACUUUGGAACUGCAUUUUUAACUGAGCUAGAGUGUGUCAGGGGAGGGAGGUGGAAUUCCGCGUAGCAGUGAAAUGCAGAUAUGCGGAGGAACACCGAUGGCGAAGGUAGCUCUCCCUGGGAUAACACUGACGCUCAUGCACGAAAGCGUAUAAACAGGAUAAUACUCCUGGUAGUCCACGCCUAAACGUCGUUAGCUGUUGGGGCCUUCGGGCCUGGUAGCAGCUAACGCGUGAAGCUGACCGCCUGGGGAGCAUGGUCAAGAUUAAAACUCAAAGGAAUGACCGGGACCUCCGCACAAGCGGUGGAUGAUGUGGAUUAAUUCGAUGCAACGCGAAAACCUUACCUACCCUUGACAUGUCUGAAUCCCGCGAGAUUUGGGAGUGUCGCCGUAAGAGAACAACGAGGUGCUGGCUGGCCAUAGUCGUCAGCCGUAGUCGCGAGAUGUUGUUCCUGCAACGAGCAACCCGCAUUAGCCGAAAGGGCAACUCUAGACGACCGCCGGCACAAACUGAGGAAAGAAGUGGAUGACGUCAAGUCCUCUGCGGCCCUGGUGGCACGGCACGUCAUGCAGAACGGGUGUCGGGACAGAGGGUCGCCAACUCGCGAAGGAGCUGGUCCAGAACCCGAUCGUAGUCCGGAUCAGCCCGGGCAACCUGACUCAGUGGCUUGAACCGCUGGGGCACUGCGGGGAUCACAUGGGCAACAAAUGCGUGAAUAUGUUCCCGGCCCGGUACACCGCUCAACAACAUGGAGUGGCUUUACCAGGCGUAGUUAGUCAACCGGGUGAGGCGCGAUUACCACGGUAUUCAGACUCGUGAAGUCGAACAAGGU